rnacentral:rRNA from 1 species
UACGUAGGGACCGAGCGUUGUCCGGAAUCAUUGGGCGUAAAGAGCGUGUAGGCGGCUAUUUAAGUCCUGCGUGAAAUCCUGCGGCUCAACCGCAGACGGUCGUGGGAAACUGGAUGGCUAGAGUGCGGGAGAGGAGAGUGGAAUUCCCGGUGUAGCGGUGAAAUGCGCAGAUAUCGGGAAGAACACCCGUGGCGAAGGCGGCUCUCUGGAACGCAACUGACGCUGAGACGCGAAAGCGUUGGGGAGCAAACAGGG